rnacentral:misc_RNA from 1 species
AACGCACAUUGCGCCCUGUGGUAUUCCGCAGGACAUGCCUGUUCGAGCGUCAGUACAAUCGCAAGCUUAGCUUGGUAUCUAGGAUUGCAAUUCUCUUGCACCCCUAAGCAUGAAUAGCCGUGCUAGUAGGUUCUGAGCGUAGUACAACCCCUCGCUAUAGAAUUUUGCUGGUUCGUGCCAAAAAUUUCAAAGGUUGACCUCGGAUCAGGUAGGGAUACCCGCUGAACUUAA